UAGAGUUUGAUCCUGGCUCAGAUUGAACGCUGGCGGCAGGCCUAACACAUGCAAGUCGAGCGGUAGAGAGAAGCUUGCUUCUCUUGAGAGCGGCGGACGGGUGAGUAAUGCCUAGGAAUCUGCCUGGUAGUGGGGGAUAACGUUCGGAAACGGACGCUAAUACCGCAUACGUCCUACGGGAGAAAGCAGGGGACCUUCGGGCCUUGCGCUAUCAGAUGAGCCUAGGUCGGAUUAGCUAGUUGGUGGGGUAAUGGCUCACCAAGGCGACGAUCUGUAACUGGUCUGAGAGGAUGAUCAGUCACACUGGAACUGAGACACGGUCCAGACUCCUACGGGAGGCAGCAGUGGGGAAUAUUGGACAAUGGGCGAAAGCCUGAUCCAGCCAUGCCGCGUGUGUGAAGAAGGUCUUCGGAUUGUAAAGCACUUUAAGUUGGGAGGAAGGGUUGUAGAUUAAUACUCUGCAAUUUUGACGUUACCGACAGAAUAAGCACCGGCUAACUCUGUGCCAGCAGCCGCGGUAAUACAGAGGGUGCAAGCGUUAAUCGGAAUUACUGGGCGUAAAGCGCGCGUAGGUGGUUUGUUAAGUUGGAUGUGAAAUCCCCGGGCUCAACCUGGGAACUGCAUUCAAAACUGACUGACUAGAGUAUGGUAGAGGGUGGUGGAAUUUCCUGUGUAGCGGUGAAAUGCGUAGAUAUAGGAAGGAACACCAGUGGCGAAGGCGACCACCUGGACUAAUACUGACACUGAGGUGCGAAAGCGUGGGGAGCAAACAGGAUUAGAUACCCUGGUAGUCCACGCCGUAAACGAUGUCAACUAGCCGUUGGGAGCCUUGAGCUCUUAGUGGCGCAGCUAACGCAUUAAGUU
rnacentral:rRNA from 1 species